rnacentral:rRNA from 1 species
UACGUAGGGCGCAAGCGUUGUCCGGAAUUAUUGGGCGUAAAGAGCUCGUAGGUGGCGUGUCGCGUCUGCCGUGAAAGCCCAUGGCUUAACUGUGGGUCUGCGGUGGAUACGGGCAGGCUGGAGGCUGGUAGGGGCAAGCGGAAUUCCUGGUGUAGCGGUGAAAUGCGCAGAUAUCAGGAGGAACACCAAUGGCGAAGGCAGCUCACUGGGACGGUAUUGACGCUGAGACGCGAAAGCGUGGGGAGCAAACAGG